rnacentral:rRNA from 1 species
GGGGGCUUCGCCAUUUGGAUUCAUCCAGCCCGCACGAUGUGCGCUGCUGUCCGCUGACUAUGUACCUUCUAACUGUGUGGUAAGCAUCUCAUCGUUCAUUUUUUUGUACACUAUGUGCUUGGGUUAGAGCAGAUGACGAGUGGGCCACUCUUACACGCAGGCCUGUUUUGCAGUCACAACACGUGUUUGUGUUUGGGUGGAAAGCACGGAUUGACAGCGGCGAUCGUGGGCCUACGGCAAAAAAAGGGUGGACUGGAGCGCGUGCACCGCGUGAGCCAAUCCUCUCCCGAAAACCUAGCGCACCAGAGCCCCACGCCCUCUUCUUCCCCUCUGCGCCGUCUUGCCUCCCCUCUCGCACCGCCGCCUUCUCUCGGCCACCCUCCUGGCACAUUCUUCUGGGCCUCUUCCCCGGCGCUCGAACUGCAGCGGCGGCGGCGCCGCUCCUCCUCACGGGCAUGGUCGCAUCUGGAGGAGUAGGCCGUGGUCAUGGCGGCGCGCGACACUAGGCUGUGGCGCUGUUCGUCGAGGCGGAGCCGCGGAGGUGAGUGGCUGCGGUGAUGGCAGAUGUAUGAGGAGGAGGAGGCCACGGACCCAUGGUCAUGGCGGUGCGACGGAGUUCGUACCCGGCCGGCGCGGCACCAGGCUGCGAAGGAGAGAGUUAGAGGAAAUAGGAGAGGUAGGCCCGACAACAGAUGGGAGAGGGUCACCGGCCGGCGUCGGCCUGUGCCGGCGAGGUUGCUCGCCUUGUUGCGCAGGAGGGAAAGGCAACGGGACCAGCAUCCGGGGCGGUGGCGGUGGCUGGCCGAGGUGGUUCUCGCCAAAGAAGCAGGUGGCAGUGCAAGGCAGCACGGCGCAGCAAGCAUGAGCUGCUUGAGAGUGCGGCUGGCAAGGCAGGAAAGGGAAAAAGCUUUUGUGGUGAUCGGGAUCAAUACCUCCUUCAGUAGCAAGAAGUGACAUGAUUCUGUCAGGGAGACAUUGAUGACUCGAGGGCUAGGUGUCCUUCCUCCUCUUGGUGACAUAUAAGAGGACCUGCAACAUUGAGCCGGGAAGUCCUUUUUUAGGCAGUGGUCAUGGAGCAACAAUAUAUGCUGCGUGCAUUGCAGGUUACUUCCCACUUUAUGUUUCAGUUGUUUAUAUGUUCUGCUACUGAGAGGAAGUUAAUUUUCCAUGUGUGUAAGGUUCAAGGAAUGGAAGUAGCUAUAUCUGAGAUCUGAUAUUAUCGUUGGCAACUUCACUGCACAUUGGAAGUCAUAUUUCAACUGUGUUAGGGGGUGGGACACAUAUUUCUUGCCGAUGAUGUUAUCAUGUCUCUUGAAAUUUAGCAGUUUCUUUUUUCUGCAUACAUUUGGGCGUGCUUAUUUAUUUCAGGCGAGACGUCUCCAUGAAUCCUGCAUGUUUCCAGAGUUUGUCUAUACCUUCAUUUGGGGGGAAUGCUAUAUUAUCUUAUUCCAACUUGACUUAUCAUAUCAGGUUUUAUUUCUGAAACUUGUAAUAGGGUUAUAUCCGAAUCUUGAAAUAAAUCUACUAUACGGCUGACUUCUUCACUUCAUGUAUGUUUUGUUUAGCUACCUAUGCUAUAGAUGGCUUUGGUACUCAAAUCUUAUCGCUGGUCUGCUGACAUAACUAGAUGACCCGUUGCGCCAAAUGGCGCAAAGGCCGGCAACAAGCCAAGUAUUGCAAGAGUGGUGAUAGGAAAACUCAGUCAUAGAUCGAAAUAAUGAGUACUUACUGCUGGUUACUGUCUCUGUUCAUGAUUACUGUUUCUCCUGGAACAGUCUAUGCUAAAUGAUAGUGCUAUAUCCCUUGGUUGGAAGGUGGACGCUGCCAGUUAGGGCAUGCCUCUUCCUUGCUUAGCAUAUUUGUUGUUGCUGGUGAGUACUCGAUGUUUGGAACACAGAAAGUAGUAAAAACAGAUAAUUAUAGAUAAGGGUGGCAUUAUGCAUAUUAAUAAUUUCAUGAGGAACAACAACAAAGGUUAUAUAAGUAAAGUAUAGGUGGUAGCUGUUCAAAAGCAGCAGAGAUAGCAUGGCCGAAAAACAGAGGAAGGUUUCAUCCUAUUACAAAGCUUGAUUAGUAGUCCUUAGAAUGCUAGAUGAUAUUUAGAUACGACCUUAGUUGCUGUCGAUGGUUCAUCUAAAGGCAAUGCACGAUGAGAACCAGGCGCUGCUUUGUGGUGACCUUGAAACGAAAGGCACCUUGAAAAGAACCAUGAGAUGCGGCCAACAAACUUCCCUACUGCAAACAUCAGUUCAUGCUCAGACUCUACAUUACACAUGAACUUUCACUAUACUGUAUGUAGAACUAAUUCUUUGAAACAUGUCAUAGGACUUCAUAUCAACUCACAACCCAAUAAAAGCCUAAAUUCCAAACAACAUCUCCAUAAAAAGCAAUAGGAAAAUGUAUAAAACCCCAUGUAAAAGAUUCUUAAAAACAGUAUGAAGACAGUGGUAUUACAUUCAAGGAAAGCAAGACAAAAUAUUGAUCUUGGAAGCACAUUACAUCAGCCUUGAUAUGAUCUGCUGUGCCUCAGUGGCUUCGUCGAUGUCUUUGGAGCAGUGCCGGCCUCGGCAUCCAAGAGCGGCACAUCGGCGGUGUCAUGGACGGCCUCCAUGCCAUCCAGGGGCGAUGUGGGCCGGCCAGCAUGCGUGGGGGCAAAGGUCACGACCAGGAUGCGGAUCCAUGGCGGCGGCGCCGCGGAACUCCUCUGCACACCUCCCCCUUGACGUUGUAUGCCACACCACAGCGCCUCCACGUCAUCGAACACACCCGCCACGUAGCACCAUGUGCAUCCUCAUCCACGGGGAUGACAGCCCCGAUCCAGCGGAUCGACCCGCCACAAACCUCUAGGUCGCACCGCCGACGCAGAUCAACGUCGGCCGGUGACCCUCUCUCAUCCACCGUCGCACCUCCUUUUCCUUCCUGCAGAUCGAAUCGAGUGCCGCCGCCACCAUCAAAGAUGAAUCUGGGAGGAAGCGAGGAGAGGAGAGGUGGGGGCAGGGAGGGGAUGCGCUGGAAGCCAUGGGCUGAGGGGAUGUAGCGGCCAAUAUGUCUACGUACAGCCAUGAACGUGGAGAACAACCAAUGGUUUACCGGCUGCCAGCAGCCAAAAACCUCGCUAAAGGAAAAGAAUCGUUCGGUCCAACAAGCUCAGCGCACACGGUUGCUCUGGAAUGGCGGGUAGUGUAGGCAGGUUUAUAUGUUCGAUUUCAAAUGGGUGGCAACAUACGAAUAUAUGUAGAAAUAUUUUAGAGUGUAGAUUCACUCAUUUUGCUUUGUAUGUAGUCACUUGUUAAAAUGUCUAGAAAGACAAAUAUUUGAAAAUGGAGGAAGUAGUUUAUACAAGAAAAAUGUAUAUCUAGUUGGAGCACUAAAAAAAGUUGGUACUCCGUACAUGCAUAGGUAGUCUACGGUCGUCUGAUCACUCACAAAGUUUGAUGCUUGCUUGUUGACACAUUAGCCCGUGAAAGUGUGAAAACGUUCGCGACUUUACAAGUUACAACAAACCACACGGACAACCGUUUUCUAUGCAGCUCCCCUCACCCACUCGCCCAACCCCUACCCGUCUCUUAUCCAUUCCAGUGACUGAGAGUCAGAGGAGAUGCGGCAGCGACACCGAUCUGCUCGCGGCGGCCAUGGCGGGUCUUGCGGCGUGGGACAGCUGCUUCCGGCGUCCGACGGCAGCACGCAUCCCCCAAAGCCCGACCUGCUCAAGCUACGCGCAGCUCGUCCACCUUCCACUCAAAGCGACAACGGCGGCCGCGGAGGACCAGUGGCAGCCAUGGCUGGUCUCGAUUCGACGUGCCGCGGCAGUGCUAGGCGCGUGUAGGCUGCUCGGCAUCAGCGGCCGACAGCGCGCACCUGUGCAAGGAGGUCCUCGUCGAAGAAUAUCAGAGCCGCCUUGUUCUUGAACUCACAGAGGAGCAUGUGGUCGCCCUCUGGGUCCUUGUACUGGCGAGGUGACGAAUCGGUGACCACGCUCCGGGGCGAGCGAGGCCGGGGUGCACGAUGAGCCAAGUCGCUAUCCUGGGCUCUGUAAUUGGAAAUUUCAGGCCGAGCGAGCACAUCCGGUUGGUUUGCUGGCGCCUUGGCGGGAGCUGCUGUUGCUCCUCGCUGGGAACAACCACCAUAUCCUCAGGCGGCGGUAGCGACUCGUUCGUGUGCGCGCUGGGCCGGAGCGUCACGGGCGCCAUCACGGCGACCACACCAAGCGCAAGGGCCUUGGGAACAGCCAGAUGCCCCUACACUACAAGCUUUCUCAGAAGAUGGCAUUAGGUAGUGUUCUUUCACGGCACUACUAUCUAUUUCAUGAGGAACCACUUGGCAGAUCUGUAGGAUCGCAAUGUUCAGCCUGGCUUCAAUCUUUGAUUUUGAUUUUAUUGUAAUGACACGAUAUUAAGAAUAGCAGAGAUAGACAUGCCUAUGUCUACAGCUAACUAUUCAAGAUAGACAUGCCUGUGUCUACAAGAAAAUCAGCUUAGCAUUCAUAUCUCAUGUUCUCAACUCCCUAUACACUCUGACCAGACAUAUAAUUAAGCUUAGGUCAGCAAACCGGACAAGGCAUAUAUCGUUACCGUGUAGAGCAUUUUGCACGCUGGUAUGUUUUGUUGCCAAGCUAAGAUCGGCGAGACCCGUGCCAAUACAUGAGAGUCCAUGAUAUCAUACAGUUCGCAGUCGAAAAAUUCAUGAUAUGGGUGAUAUGGAAGUCAUUGCCUUCUUUGCUGGUACAUUCCCUGAUUGCCUGGACUUCUUGGGUCAAUCGCUGGACGCCACCCCCAUCUCCUGGACGUCAUGACGCCGCCGAUCUCCUAUAUGAACUCAAUUUCUCCAAUUUCUCUCAGCUGUGAGCUCAUAUAUUUUUUGAGCUGUGAACUUAUUAUGUAAAUUCAACACUUUGUUUUGUGAGAAGUGAACUCAUUGCAUAUUCGUCUAUCAAUCAUGGUUGAAGUGUCUAUAUGUCUCUCCCUUCCGAAUGUACUAUAAUUUGAGGUCUACAUACUUUUUUCUAGCCACAAUUUUGUUUCAAAGGCUUCUGCAAC